UACAGAGGGUGCAAGCGUUAAUCGGAUUUACUGGGCGUAAAGGGCGCGUAGGCGGACUUAUGAGUGUGAUGUGAAAGCCCCGGGCUUAACCUGGGAAGUGCAUCGCAAACGAUAAGACUAGAGUAGAUGAGAGGGUGAUGGAAUUUCCGGUGUAGCGGUGAAAUGCGUAGAGAUCGGAAGGAACGUCAAUGGCGAAGGCAGUCACCUGGCAUCAUACUGACGCUGAGGCGCGAAAGCGUGGGGAUCGAACAGG
rnacentral:rRNA from 1 species